AGAAGAUGACGAGCGGCGGACGGGUGAGUAAUACUUAGGAAUCUACCUAGUAGUGGGGGAUAGCUCGGGGAAACUCGAAUUAAUACCGCAUACGACCUACGGGAGAAAGGGGGCAACUUGUUGCUCUCGCUAUUAGAUGAGCCUAAGUCGGAUUAGCUAGAUGGUGGGGUAAAGGCCUACCAUGGCGACGAUCUGUAGCUGGUCUGAGAGGAUGAUCAGCCACACCGGGACUGAGACACGGCCCGGACUCCUACGGGAGGCAGCAGUGGGGAAUAUUGGACAAUGGGGGAAACCCUGAUCCAGCCAUGCCGCGUGUGUGAAGAAGGCCUUUUGGUUGUAAAGCACUUUAAGCAGUGAAGAAGACUCUUCGGUUAAUACCCGGAGACGAUGACAUUAGCUGCAGAAUAAGCACCGGCUAACUCUGUGCCAGCAGCCGCGGUAAUACAGAGGGUGCAAGCGUUAAUCGGAAUUACUGGGCGUAAAGCGAGCGUAGGUGGCUUGAUAAGUCAGAUGUGAAAUCCCCGGGCUUAACCUGGGAACUGCAUCUGAUACUGUCAGGCUAGAGUAGGUGAGAGGAAGGUAGAAUUCCAGGUGUAGCGGUGAAAUGCGUAGAGAUCUGGAGGAAUACCGAUGGCGAAGGCAGCCUUCUGGCAUCAUACUGACACUGAGGCUCGAAAGCGUGGGUAGCAAACAGGAUUAGAUACCCUGGUAGUCCACGCCGUAAACGAUGUCUACUAGUCGUUGGGUCCC
rnacentral:rRNA from 1 species